rnacentral:rRNA from 1 species
ACAGCAGUCGCCGCGGUAAUACGAAGGGUGCAAGCGUUAAUCGGAAUUACUGGGCGUAAAGCGUGCGUAGGCGGUGAGUUAAGUCUGCUGUGAAAUCCCCGGGCUCAACCUGGGAAUGGCAGUGGAUACUGGCUCGCUAGAGUGUGUCAGAGGAUGGUGGAAUUCCCGGUGUAGCGGUGAAAUGCGUAGAGAUCGGGAGGAACAUCAGUGGCGAAGGCGGCCAUCUGGGACAACACUGACGCUGAGGCACGAAAGCGUGGGGAGCAAACAGGAUUAGAUACCCCCGUAGUCCCUGUCUCUUAUAC